AGGAUUCCCCUAGUAACUGCGAGUGAAGCGGGAAAAGCUCAAAUUUAAAAUCUGGUAGCUUUCGCUGCCCGAGUUGUAAUCUAGAGAAGCAUUGUCAGUGCUGGCACGUGUAUAAGUGUCCUGGAAUGGACCAUCAUAGAGGGUGAAAAUCCCGUCCUUGACACGCUGCUUUAGUGCGUUCAGAUGUGCUCUCAAAGAGUCGGGUUGUUUGGGAAUGCAACUCUAAAUGGGUGGUAAGUUCCAUCUAAAGCUAAAUAUUGGCGAGAGACCGAUAGCGAACAAGUACCGUGAGGGAAAGAUGAAAAGAACUUUGGAAAGAGGGUUAAACAGUACGUGAAAUUGCUGAAAGGGAAACGCUUGAAGUCAGUCGCGUCGGCUGGGAAUCAACCAUUGCAUUCUUUGCUUGGUUUACUUCUCCAGCUUGACGGGUCAGCAUCAGUUUCGAUCAGUGGACAAAGGUCAAGGGAAUGUGGCACCUCCGGGUGUGUUAUAGCCCUCGGUCAUAUACAUUGGUU
rnacentral:rRNA from 1 species